UUCCAGACUCCUACGGGAGGCAGCAGUGGGGAAUAUUGCACAAUGGGGGGAACCCUGAUGCAGCGACGCCGCGUGGGUGAAGGAGCACCUCGGUGCGUAAAGCCCUAUCGGCAGGGAAGAAAAGCGAACAGGUUCGCCUGGACGGUACCUGACUAAGAAGUCCCGGCUAACUACGUGCCAGCAGCCGCGGUAAUACGUAGGGGGCAAGCGUUAUCCGGAUUCACUGGGUGUAAAGGGAGCGUAGACGGCGGCGCAAGUCUGGAGUGAAAGCCCGGGGCCCAACCCCGGGACUGCAUUUGGAACUGUGUGGCUGGAGUGUCGGAGAGGCAGGCGGAAUUCCUAGUGUAGCGGUGAAAUGCGUAGAUAUUAGGAGGAACACCAGUGGCGAAGGCGGCCUGCUGGACGAUGACUGACGCUGAGGCUCGAAAGCGUGGGGAGCAAACAGGAUUAGAUACCCGGGUA
rnacentral:rRNA from 1 species